rnacentral:rRNA from 1 species
UGGGGAAUAUUGCACAAUGGGCGCAAGCCUGAUGCAGCCAUGCCGCGUGUGUGAAGAAGGCCUUCGGGUUGUAAAGCACUUUCAGCGAGGAGGAAGGUGGUGAGCUUAAUACGCUCAUCAAUUGACGUUACUCGCAGAAGAAGCACCGGCUAACUCCGUGCCAGCAGCCGCGGUAAUACGGAGGGUGCAAGCGUUAAUCGGAAUUACUGGGCGUAAAGCGCACGCAGGCGGUUUGUUAAGUCAGAUGUGAAAUCCCCGGGCUCAACCUGGGAACUGCAUUUGAAACUGGCAAGCUAGAGUCUCGUAGAGGGGGGUAGAAUUCCAGGUGUAGCGGUGAAAUGCGUAGAGAUCUGGAGGAAUACCGGUGGCGAAGGCGGCCCCCCUGGACGAAGACUGACGCUCAGGUGCGAAAGCGUGGGGCAGCAAACAGGAUUAGAUACCCUGGUAGUCCAGCGCUGUAAACGAUGUCGAUUUGGAGGUUGUGCCCUUGAGGCGUGGCUUCCGGAGCUAACGCGUUAAAUCGACCGCCUGGGGAGUACGGCCGCAAGGUUAAAACUUAAAGGAAUUGACGGGGUCUAGCUG